AAGACUAUAUUUUCAGGAAUCAUUUCUGUAGUUCAUUACUACAGAAGUUUCUCUGACUGUGUAGAGUACCACGAGGAGGAGACAUAGCAUUCUCUCCUAGCGUGAAGUUAGCUCUUGGUGUUGCUUCGUUGCAACUGUCAUUUGCCAUUGAUGAUCGUGCUUUUCUCUUUUGGGAGAGUAGAGGGAAAGGAUGCAGUCUGAGUGGG
ensembl:snoRNA U3 Small nucleolar RNA U3